rnacentral:lncRNA from 1 species
AUGAAGCAAUGCCGGUGUGAUCUCCUUGCUGUGGUGCCCAGCUUUCCACACGUGGGCUGCGCUGGUCCCGAGUGCUUUGGCAGGGACCUGCUAGGUGCUGUUACCCCUGGGAAGGGGCUGUGCUGCAGGUGCAGUGAAGGCACCUGCUUCCCCCAGAACCUCUUCAGUCACCUGGUUUCCAGCCUGGAGGCUUUGGGCAGCUCUGACUUAGAUUACAUCUCCCACAUCAUUCCAUACUUCAUCACCCUCUCCACCCUCCGCCCCGUCCUCCAGCCUUUCCUCUCCCCUCCCGCCCUCAGCCACCCUCCAGCUUCCUCCCUGUCCCUCCAGCCAUCCCUGUCUGCAUUCCUGUCUGCUCUGUUUGCCUCCCACCUCAGCAUCCCACAGCCGGUGCCUUUCUGCAGAUGGACUGGGCCAGUCACCCACGGCUCUCCAUGGGGCACCGGCUCCCAGCGAACAUCAAGGGCCCUUUUCUCUCCUCUCUUUCAGGCGAUUUGCAGCUCCUGGGGGCUCCAUGAGCACUGGAGCAGUCCUAGCGAGCUGGAGGUCAGCAGCGCAUCCCUCCAGAAAGAUUUUGUUUGGGGGCGAGGCAGACAGAGUAGACAGUCUGAGGGUGGCCUUGUUAAAAAAGGGUCUUUGAGGUUUGUGGCUGUGCAUGAGGCGGUGGGAAGGAGAGCAAGGGACAGGAAUCCUAUGGAACAGGAUGCACACGUGGCUCCAGGCUUUUUGGGAGAUGCGGUUUCAGCUAUGAGCCGAGCCAUUAGACACUCCAGCACUGCCCUGUCAGAGCAUGGAAACAGGGCCAGCCCCUGCUCCAAGGCAGCAUACAGUCCCUUUUCUUCCCAUGGAGCCCCGGCCAGGCCUGCCCUUACUUGCUUUCCAGAGGACUGCGAGCCCUGGAGGUGGCUUCGCGGUCCCACCAGGCAGGAGCUGUGCCAUGGCCUCUGCCCCACGGCGCCAGGGAGAGCCGGCAAGUCAUGGCCCCGAGAGCCCAGAGCUGGCCGAUCCCAGGCCCAGAGCUGGCCCGUCCCCAGCCCCAGAGCCGGUCCUGGUCCCGAGAGCCCAGAGCUGGCCCGUCCCCAGCCCCAGAGCCGGCCGAUCCCCAGCCCCAGAGCCGGUCCUGGUCCCCAGCCCCAGAGCCGGCCGGUCCCGGGCCCAGAGCCGGCCGAUCCCCAG